rnacentral:rRNA from 1 species
GUGGGGAAUAUUGCGCAAUGGGCGGAAGCCUGACGCAGCGACGCCGCGUGAGGGAUGACGGCCUUCGGGUUGUAAACCUCUUUCAGCAGGGACGUAUUUAGACGGUACCUGUAGAAGAAGCACCGGCCAACUACGUGCCAGCAGCCGCGGUAAUACGUAGGGUGCGAGCGUUGUCCGGAAUUAUUGGGCGUAAAGAGCUCGUAGGCGGUCUGUCGCGUCGAAUGUGAAAACCCGGGGCUCAACUCCGGGCUUGCAUUCGAUACGGGCAGGCUAGAGUUCGGUAGGGGAGUCUGGAAUUCCUGGUGUAGCGGUGAAAUGCGCAGAUAUCAGGAGGAACACCGGUGGCGAAGGCGGGACUCUGGGCCGAUACUGACGCUGAGGAGCGAAAGCGUGGGGAGCGAACAGGAUUAGAUACCCUUGUAGUCC